GACGAACGCUGGCGGCGUGCCUAACACAUGCAAGUCGAACGCUCUUUCUUUCACCGGAGCUUGCUCCAUCGAAAGAAAAAGAGUGGCGGACGGGUGAGUAACACGUGGGUAACCUGCCCAUCAGAAGGGGAUAACACUUGGAAACAGGUGCUAAUACCGUAUAACACUAUUUUCCGCAUGGAAGAAAGUUGAAAGGCGCUUUUGCGUCACUGAUGGAUGGACCCGGGGUGCAUUAGCUAGUUGGUGAGGUAACGGCUCACCAAGGCAACGAUGCAUAGCCGACCUGGGAGGGUGAUCGGCCACACUGGGACUGAGACACGGCCCAGACUCCUACGGGAGGCAGCAGUAGGGAAUCUUCGGCAAUGGACGAAAGUCUGACCGAGCAACGCCGCGUGAGUGAAGAAGGUUUUCGGAUCGUAAAACUCUGUUGUUAGAGAAGAACAAGGAUGAGAGUAAAAUGUUCAUCCCUUGACGGUAUCUAACCAGAAAGCCACGGCUAACUACGUGCCAGCAGCCGCCGUAA
rnacentral:rRNA from 1 species